UACGGGGGGAGCAAGCGUUGUUCGGAUUUACUGGGCGUAAAGGGCGCGUAGGCGGUCACGACAAGUCAGUUGUGAAAUCUCCGGGCUUAACUCGGAACGGUCAACUGAUACUGUCGGACUAGAGUGCAGAAGGGGCAACUGGAAUUCUCGGUGUAGCGGUGAAAUGCGUAGAUAUCGAGAGGAAUACCAGAGGCGAAGGCGGCACCCUGGGUCUGACCUGACACUGAUCCGCGACAGCAUGGGGAGCGAACGGG
rnacentral:rRNA from 1 species